rnacentral:rRNA from 1 species
UACAGAGGUCUCAAGCGUUGUCCGGAAUUAUUGGGCGUAAAGAGCUCGUAGGCGGCUCGUCACGUCGGCUGUGAAAACCCGGGGCUCAACCCCGGGCCUGCAGUCGAUACGGGCGAGCUAGAGUUCGGCAGGGGAGACUGGAAUUCCUGGUGUAGCGGUGAAAUGCGCAGAUAUCAGGAGGAACACCGGUGGCGAAGGCGGGUCUCUGGGCCGAUACUGACGCUGAGGAGCGAAAGCGUGGGGAGCGAACAGG